AGUGGGGAAUAUUGCACAAUGGGCGCAAGCCUGAUGCAGCCAUGCCGCGUGUAUGAAGAAGGCCUUCGGGUUGUAAAGUACUUUCAGCAGUGAGGAAGGUUCAUACGUUAAUAGCGUAUGGAUUUGACGUUAGCUGCAGAAGAAGCACCGGCUAACUCCGUGCCAGCAGCCGCGGUAAUACGGAGGGUGCGAGCGUUAAUCGGAAUUACUGGGCGUAAAGCGCAUGCAGGUGGUUUGUUAAGUCAGAUGUGAAAGCCCGGGGCUCAACCUCGGAAUAGCAUUUGAAACUGGCAGACUAGAGUACUGUAGAGGGGGGUAGAAUUUCAGGUGUAGCGGUGAAAUGCGUAGAGAUCUGAAGGAAUACCGGUGGCGAAGGCGGCCCCCUGGACAGAUACUGACACUCAGAUGCGAAAGCGUGGGGAGCAAA
rnacentral:rRNA from 1 species